CGUCGGGCUCUGUGCGCAGGCGCGCGUAGGUUCUCGGCGGGGCUCCCUGGUGGUCUCGGGCCUGUCUGGGCGCGGCCGCGCGUGGGGCGGGCGGUAGGCCCUGGAGGUCGGCGUCCUGUUCAGCGCGGGCCUCCCGAGGCUGCGAAGAGGGGCGCGAGGCGGAGGCAGAGGCAGCGCCGCCUGGGCCGCGUCCACACUGAAUGGAGGGAGACUGGGGGUCCCGAGCGAACGCGCGGGAAGGGCCGCGUUUGUGGGAGAGGCCGCGCUGGCUGCGGGGUCUCCAUCCUCGUAAUCGCCGAGGCGGCCCGAACGCGGCCCAGAGGACUGAGCGACAGACCCCAUCGGGCCUCGCAGCCCGGCGAGGCUCUACUGGAACAGAGCAUCUCUACUGAGCCGGAAGGAGGGGGACUCCAGGAACGGGAAUCUCACAGGGAAGAACCCCCGCUCCCUCUAGCCUCUGACCCAAGACGCAUCGGAGCUUCAGAAGAGAAGCGGAAGAAACCCAGAAAAGGAGCGUAUCGCCCGGAGGGCGGAGGCUUGAGUGAUUUCACCACCAUCAGCUAAGGGAAAAAGCCUGAAAGGGGAAAUGACUUGUGAAGAAUCAGUAAGAGGCACAUAGAAGUCCUGGCAUGUGCUGUCCACACGAUCUCACGGAAACACAUUUCCUCUUAAAAAAAUCCUUUUGAGGAUGUCCCUGGUGGUCCAGUGGGAUUAAAGGUUACCCAGCUGGCGUGUGGAAGUUUUUAGGAAGAGCGUUGAGGAGCUCUCAUCAUCCUGUUCCUCUUUCCUCCUCUUCCAGGAAUGCCUUCCCAGGUUUUGACAGUCUUCCAAGAACAACAGAAAAUGAACAAAUCCCAGAAGUGUGCUGGCCAGGGAUCCGUGUCAUUCAAGGACGUGCCUGUGGACUUCACCUGGGAUGAGAGGCUACAGCUGACCUGCAUGCGGAGGACCCUGUACCGGGAUGUGAUGCUGGUCUCCGUGGGGUACUGCGUCAGCAAACCAGAGGUGAUCUUCAAGCUAGAGCAAGGAGAAGAGCCAUGGCCAUUAGAGAGAGCAUUUCCAUGCCGGAGUGAUCCAGGUUGCUGCCUCCACCCCCAGGACUUGUGCCUUUAAAUGCCUUUGGCACCAGCCCUCUGGGAAGACUGUUCUGAGUCAAGGAAACAACAAAGGGACGCCCUGUUACUGACUUACAGACAGCAGCCCACAGGUGAGGCCCACAAGCACAGCCCUGUGGGGUAAGGUCUCAUUCUUGCCCUGCCCCCAGCAACCUGUGCCUGGGGCUCAGGCUGCCAGCAAUCGGGCUGGUGACCAGAGAUGUGGGGGACAGUGGGUGGGCAGCUUUCUCAUUGCAAAGUGUUGCCCUUAUCAAGCUUCCUUGGUGGUUCUAAGUCCCAGACUAGAUUCUAGAGUUUUGCCAACGUUGCCAGCUCAUUAAUUGUUCAUGUUGGGGGAGGGGGACAGAUUUCUCUACUCUGCCAUUUUUGGUGAAAUCACUUCUCGUCAGUUUUCGAGCACUUCCUGAUUGCUAAUACAAAUGACUGUUCUACACUUAAUUUUCCUAAUCAGCAUUGGAAUAAGCUUUUACUCUUAAGAGCUCUGGUUCCAUUUAGUGGAGAAAAAUUACAAACCAAGAUCUGGGUGAACAUUUUUCUUUUUCUUUGGGGGGAGGGGCGGGCGCACACAUUUUUCUGAAGGUAAAAUACUGCAUAUUUAAUUAGGAAUUUAAUACUAUUACAGUGUGCUAGUAUUUAUUAGGAUUCUGUUGAUUCCAUGAAUAAUCUUGUUGAAAAAAUUAUUGUUGAAAAGAUUUUGAGUGGGCUGCCUUUUACUUUCUAAGACUCAGUCUUGUAUUUCAUCAUUAGUGUACCACUAAGUUUUGGAGGAAGGCAUAGGUUGCAUUUUAGAAGACAUGACUGCAGUUCAUUUUUUGUUGGCUAAUUCUGUGUAAGUGUCAGAUUGGCUGCCAAGCAAAGUGGCUGAACCAAGAGAUUGAAAUCUCAUGUACAGUUCCAAACAGGGGGUCCAGGGAGGUAGGGGACCCUCCUCAUCCCGUUCCAUGGUGUUAUCCAGAGAAGUUUCCCUUCAACGUAUUACUUUUCCAUCCCCUAAGCAGGAGUCGGCAAAAUAUGGAUCAUAGGCCAAAUUUGGCCUACUGCCUCUUUUUUGUACAGCAUAAACCAAGAAUGGUUUUUAUAUGUUUUAGAAUAAUAAGUUCUAUCAAACACAGCCCAAGCAAGGGAAGGAAGAAAGGCAGUGAAGAACCAACUUUUAAGAAUGUGACUCUUUUAAGAAUGUGACUCAGAGGAUGACACAGAUUUCCCUAAUGGGCUCCAACAUAAUCACCUGGCUAACCUACCUAAAAGGUAAGUUGAGAAGUCAAAUCUCCAGUGAUGUGCCAGUUGAAACUGAAGGGGGAGUCUCUUUCAUAAACAAAGCAGGGUAACACUGUAGUACAGUCAGCAGCCCAGUUUAUUACACUGAGUUCUACAAAGUGAUGCAGAUACUCACAUGUAUAACUCUUUCAUCAUAAGAACGUUUACAAGCAGCUGUGCCAUUUUCCUGAAAGUUGGCUUGGGUAGAAGUUGCCAGAAAAGGCACAGGAGGCACCAUUUAGGUACCUAAGCUAUAAAAUUCUGGCUAAAACUGAACAGAAUAAAACAUUAUUGGGGAUUUUAAUUAGGGGCCUUUACUUUUCCUGUGUGCAUGUUUUCAUAUUUCUGGAGGAGUCCUGGGCACAGUGUUAACUGUACUACUCAGUUAAAAACAUACUUAUUAUCAGCAUUGGUUUCUGUGUGGACCCCACUGUUUCUUCAUGCCAAACCCCAAUUCCAUCCCUUCCCCCACAGGUACUCACACUGAUGAAGGUAUGACCUUAAGCACAUACUACUGUAGCCUCUAUGAGGGUGUGUGUGUAACUUUGAUGUAAACAUUUUUUAGUUGCACGAAAUCUCAUUCCAUCCAUUUUUCUUUCAUUCAUAUCUAAAAGGGUUAAUCAGCUGUGCUACAACAAAGCACACACUGCUAACUGCUGGACACCACCCCACUGCUUGAUCCACAUUUUACUCACCUCUUCUAAUGACAGUCACCUAGGAUAUCUCAAAAGUCCUGCUGUGGUGAAAUUCCCUGUAUAUACAUCCUCCUGUGUAUAGAAGUUCUCUGGGAUCUAUCAACAGAUUGGGGUACUACUGCAUGAUAAAGCACACAUAUUGAAUUUAAAAGGUAUUUCCAGGUUAGUUUCCCAGAUGCCUGUAUCAUUUUACAUAUUUCCACAGUAUACAAACAUACCAAUACAUCCUUACCAGUAUCUAUCCAUACAACUUUCUUUGGGGCGCUAGAGUGGACAGCCCAGCCAGCCACGCUGAGGUGGAAUAAAGAGAGGGUGACUGUUGCCUCAGAAGAGGGCCCUGGUGUUAGGAAUGGUCUUCAUUUUGACCUGUUUGAGAGGCCACAGAAGCAUCAAAUGAACCACCAUUUCACUAACACUAGGAUAACUGAAAAAACAGACCAAAAAAACUGGGGGAAUCUCACCUCUAUGUGCCAGGAGGGGUCGACCUCCUGCUCAGCCCUUGGAAACCCCCUGGGAGUUCCAAAUCUGCUUACACUCCACAGUAUGAGGUCACUGUGUAUAAAGAGCAAGUACUCCCGCUCUGCCCAAUUCCACAUUCGGUUUGCUGCUGGGUGGGGAAACAGAACCAUCCCCUGUGGUGCCUUCUUUCAUGAACUUAGGCCUUGCCAGGAAUAGUUAAAAACUUUUCAAAUAUUGCAUUCCAUCAAAUCUAAGACAACCCAUUAUUUUAAGUACCUCUAAGAAAGAAAAAAAAUCAAUGCCAGUUGAAUCAGAACAUGCUAUAGAUCCUAAUUUCAAAGAUGUAAUAAUAUGAAAACACUGACAUCUCUGAAACAAUAAAGAAAUCCCACGACUGCAUUACUGAAGAGGCAGUUGAGGACCACUUACAUGUACAGGACCCUUUCAUGUCAGGCACUCCAUAAGAGAAAAAGAAUGUGGUAAACCAUUUAAACUUUUCAAAUAUUUUACUUAAAAUGCAUACUGUUUAUUUAAGCUACUUCCCUCUAGUGUAGGAAACCUCUGCAAAUAUCAUUUCAACAAAUAUAGUUGCUACACAAAACUAUUAUACACUCUACCAGAAUUUUAAUUCCUGUUAUGUAGCAGACUCAAGAUCAUAUGGUGGAAAAGUGAUAAGCAACAAAAAACAGGUGCCAUGAGUGACAGAAAUACAUGAGAAGCAUGGCAUUUCAUCUCCGUGGUAAGGGGUGAAUUACUCAAAUAAUACAGGGUAUCAGGCUAAUCACUGGACAACAGAAGUAGGUCCUUACCUGACACCAUAUAUUGUCAACAACAUGAUAGCAAUGAUCCAUGAAUAACAAAUUAACCUAAACAAAAUUUAUGUCAUGCAUUACCAAAAGAUAGAUAUACCUGACAUCGUAUCAGGUUCCAGAGGUUCUUAGGUCAGUAACAUAACAAUUUAGAAAAACAUACACAUUUAAUGGUUUCAGGUUUUCUAAUGCUUAAACUAUUUACACCAAAAUUUACAGAAAAUAAGGUAAUUUCGAAAUCAACAGCUCAAAAUAAAUGAUUUGCCUAAAGUCCACUUCUCAAUCGCGUAACUCCUACAAACUCUGUAUCUUUAGUUAUCCCUAAAAACAACCUAAAUCAAUCAUCUUAAAAAUAAAUUUAGUCUUUCAGAAAAGAAACAGUCCAGAGGUGGAAUGGCUACAUGGCUGGCUGGUUCAGUGGCUCAAGAGCAUUGCCCAGGUCCCAGGUUCUUCCAAUCUUUCUGCUCUGCCACGUGCAAAUUAUAUCAUAAUUCAUUGCUGAAAGACAGAGCCAGGCAUCACAUUCCAGAGGAGAAAAAGUUCAACAAGGUUCCAUUUCACCCAGCAUGAUUCCUUGAAGCUUUGAAGAAAACUUUUCCAGAAAUAACCUGUCAGAUGUUUCCUUUAUUUGUCUAGAAUGGGUCCUUGGACCACUCUAAACCAGUUGCUGGCCAUGAGAAAGGGAUUAUCAUUAUUGGCUGAAACUAAUCAGGAUUUUUCUGUUCUGUCAGGAGAAAUGGAUACCCAAACUUGGCCAGCCAACAAUAAGGAGUGAGUGACUAGGGUGGUCACCCAACAAUGCCAGCUACAAAGCCAUAUGAACCCACUCUUAAUCCAUUCAGGAAGGAGCAAAGCACAGUUUAAAAAUACCAUCCUAUCAAAUAAAAUUAAUUCCUAGGUUACACAUUAUGUGUGCUCUGCACACUUACACUUAGGUAGGCAUCUAAAUAAAAAACCGUAGGUGGAAAAAAUUAGAUUAAAAUGAAACUAUUUUAGGUUCAUCUAAAAAACUGUACUGAGUGCAAUGAGUCCUAUGUUCCUCACUACAGACUUCUAGCAUUAACAAUUGUAAAUUAUCUAUGCCAUUUGCUAUUUUUUGCAUAGAUUUUUAUCUCUUGCUAAUUCAGAUACAGUUGAAAACAUUAUUAAAAACACUGGCUCCCUUAUGGAAGACUUAGUUCAUUACCAAUGAUAAAAUGCAUUUAUAAAUGCCAGGGAAGAUUACAAAAAGCAGCAUACUUCUUAUCCUUCAAAUAUUAUUUCAGUAACAAUGCAUAUUAAGAUGCUAACAUAGUGGUGCUACUUAAAAUGGGUCUUUACCAUAUGCCUUAGAAAUUAUUCUAAUAAGGAUAGGAUGCCUUUUCAAACAUGACUCAAACUGAACAAACAAUUCCUGUAAUGCAGCAUCUUAAAAAGCAAACAAACAGACCAAAACACCCUCAAAAGCAUUAGUCCUACAUCCUCAGGACCCACUCAUAUAUGAGCUUAAUGUUGCCAUGUUGCUGUCUUGAUUAGCUACCUGACAACUUUACAGCUUCUAUUUACAUAAGGAGCAUAUUUAUUCACAGCGGCCAUCUUCUGCAGCUCCUUUUUUACAAAAAGCUUUAUAUUUUAUCAGAAACAUAACUUUCAGUAUUCAUAAUUUCCAACAGAAUAUAUUCUCCACAUUCCUUAAGUUGAGAGAUUUUCCCUUGGUCUGAAUUCCCUGAUAUGUGAAAUAGUUUGAAUCCAUGGUGAAACUAUGUACAAUUUAAGUAUCAAUAAAUUUUUACUCUUGUCAACCCAUCAUGGGGCCUAGUUACAGUUGUGGUUUCCAUCCUGUGAACUUCCAGAUUCCAAGUCUGACUAUAAUGCUCGAAGGCUUGUCCACACUCACCUGUGUGAACUAUCUUAGGAUGGUAGAAAUAUUGAGGGUUCUGUGACAUUAAAUGAGGUGUGACUUCAAAGAAGCCUUCCCACGUCAAGUACGUUCAUAUUUCCUCUCCUGUGAAUUCUUUGAUGGCUAUUGAAGGCUGAUUUGUGGUAGAAUUUUUUCCCACAUUCGUUACAUUCAUAGGGCUUCUCUCCUGAAUGAGUUCUAUAAUGUACUGUAAGGUAUGACAUCCGAGAGAAGGCUUUCCCACAUUCGUUACAUUCAAAAGGUUUCUCUCCUGAAUGAAUUCGAUGAUGGAUAGUGAGAUAUGACAUCUGAGAGAAGAACUUCCCACAUUCAUAACACUCAUAGGCUUUCUCUCCUGUGUGUGUUCUCUGAUGUCUAUUAAGAGCUGAAUUCUGGCAGAAGGUUUUCCCACAUUCAGUACAUUCAUAGGGCUUCUCUCCUGAAUGAAUUCUGUGAUGUAUAGUGAGGUAUGACAUCUGAGAGAAGAACUUCCCACAUAUGUAACAUUCAUAAGGCUUCUCUCCUUUAUGUAUUCUCCGAUGUCUACAAAGGGCUGAAUUCUGGUAGAAGGUCUUCCCACAUUCGUUACAUUCAUAGGGUUUCACGCCUGAGUGAGUUCUAUGAUGUAUAGUGAGGUAUGACAACUGGGAGAAUAACUUUCCACAUUCAUUACAUUCAUAGGGCUUCUCUCCUGUGUGGACUCUCUGAUGUCUCAUGAGGGCUGAGUUCAGGUAGAAGGUUUUCCCGCAUUCGUUACAUUCAUAGGGCUUCUCUCCUGAAUGAGUUCUGUAAUGUACAGUGAGAUAUGACAACCGAGAGAAGAAUUUCCCACAUUCAUUGCACUCGUAGGGUUUCUCUCCUGUGUGUGUCCUCUGGUGUGUAGUCAGAGUAGACUUGCGGCAGAAACAUUUCCCACACUCGUUGCACUUAUAGAGUUUCACGCCUGUGUGAAUUUUCUGAUGGUCAUUAAGUGCUGACUUCUGGGAGAAGGUUUUUCCACAGUCAUGACAAACAUAGGGUCUCUCUCCUGAAUGUGUUCUCUGGUGUUGUGUGAGAUGUGUCUUCUGGCAAAAUGAUUUUCCACAAUAACUACAUUCAUAGGGCUUCUCUCCUGAGUGAGUUCUCUGAUGUUGAAUGAGGUGUAACUUCUGGUAGAAAGUUUUCCCACAUUCAGUACAUUCAUAGGGCUUCUCCCCUGUGUGUGUUCGCUGAUGUACAGUGAGGGUUCCCUUCUGGCAGAAGGAUUUCCCACAUUGGUUACAUUCAUAAGGUUUCUCUCCUGUAUGAGUCCUCUGGUGUAUAAUAAAUUUUGACUUUUUACAGAAGGACUUCCCACAUGCAUUGCAUUCAUAGGGCUUCACUUCCAUAUGAGCUCUCUGGUGCACACUGAGGUUUGACAUUUGGAGAAAGGCUAUUUCAGAUUCGUUCCACUUGUAGGGCUUCUCCUCCAUAUGAUUAACAAACACUGUACCCUUUUGAAAGGCUUUCUGAUAUUCCAUGUAUUCAAAGGGUUUCUCUAAAAUAUGAAUGUUCUGAUAAAUACUUCCUUCAUUUAGAGCAUAAGCCUCCCUAUUUUGAUUAAAUUCAUAAGGUUUAUCUCCUAGAUGGGUUUUUUCAAGCUUAACAUGGAGAAGAGAUUUCCCACAUGCACUACAUUCAUCCGGCUUCAUUCUUGCAUAGCUUCCAUCACUACUAAUAUAUUCUGAAGUAGAUUUUAAACUCUUUCCACAUGAGUCACAUUUACAGGAUAUUUUUCUUGAAGGAACAGGGUUUGUUUCCACAUUAAAAGUCUUACCAAAAACAUUACCUCUCUCUUCAAUCAGGGUUUUGUUGUUGACAGAUUCGGUUUGCCUUGAAUGUUUGUCUUCAUUUUCCUGGGCUCCCUCUAUCAGAUCAUGGGCUUCCCAGUCUUCUUCUAAAAAGAGGCAAAAUUAACCAAUUUUUAUACAUCUUCCUAUAUAAGAUAUGAGAUGUGACUUGUACACAAGCCAUUUCUUUGUGGCACAGGUGCUAGCUUCAUGGACAGAUGAAAACAAUUCCAAGUGUACUUUUUUCCCUUAUUCUUUUGGUUUGGAAUAAGCACCCACAUGCACACACACAACCUCCACAAUCUCCAGUGGUGAGAAAAGCUGACAAAAGCACAAGCACCGGGCUUCCCUGAUGGCGCAGUGGUUAAGAAUCUGCCUGCAAGUGCAGGGGACACGAGUUUGAGCCCAGGUCUGCGAAGAUCCCACAUGCCACAGAGCAACUAAGCCCAUGUGCCACAACUACUAAGCCUGCGCUCUAGAGCCUGUGUGCCACAACUACUGAAGCUCGCACACCUAGAGGCCGUGCUCCACAACGAGAAGCCACCACAGUGAGAAGCCUGCACACUGCAACAAAGAGUAGCCUCUGCUCGCCACAACUAGAGAAAGCCCACGCACAGCAACGAAGACCCAACGCAGCAAAAACACACACAAGCACCUUUGAUCUUUGCUACUUUUAAGAUUUUGUUCAAAACUGGGUAUAGAAGGUAAAAUACAAACGUGGAGCAAUGAUGAGAAGACAAAAGAUGCUGGGUGAAUGACCAAUUCUUAGAUGUGAAAGGACUCACUGCAAACGGGUAAACUGAUGGGGCGACAAUGAGUUUAGCCAGUGGACAAGGACAAGGAGGAAUCAGUCUCAGGAGGUGGAUCAGCACUUUACACCAUGGCACUUUCACAUCAAGUGGAGAGACAGAUCACAGGCUAAGGCACUGUCACCUACACCGAGAUGUCUGGUACCAGCAAUGCUCCAGCUUACGUUCAACCACAGGUCUCUGCUCCUAUUGUUUUACUAAGUUUGCCGGACUUCCAGCCUUGAUCCACUCAAACCCUAUCUUUUAGGGUGUGUCCAUGCUUAAAAAAAAAUACUAUUCAAGUCCUUUCUCAAGUUAAUUAGCUCCAUUUCCCCUUAUAGUUGAAAAUAAUUACUCUCCAUAUAUUUUUGAUUCAGCCUUGCAUUGGAACAUUAACAUUCCAUGUGCAAUGCUGACUUUUAAAUUACCCAUGCAUCUCUGUUCUCUUUUCUUAACCAAAACCUCUUAGAAAGUAUGGCUCUAUUUCCUAUUUCUUUUGAACCCCUCAAUAGAAAUCAUAGUUGUUCUUAAUUUUAAUCAUAUGGACAUCUUUCGACUACCAGCAGAAUAUAUGGGAUGUCACCUAGACAUACAUAUUUAGAAAUAAAUGCCUAUAUCUGAAUCACUUUGCUGUACACCUGAAACUAACACAACACUAUAAACUGACUAUACUUCAAUAAAAAAAUAAAAAUAAAAUAAAAUAAAAAGAAAUACCUGCCUAUAAAUUAUUUC